UAUAUACUCCCUCCGUCCCAAAAUUCGUGUCUUAGAUUUUUUUUAGAUAGGGAUGCAUCUAGAUGCUAAAACGAGACAAGAUACAUCCAUAUCUAGACAAAUUUAAGACAAUAAUUUUAGGACGGAGGGAGUACUCA
rfam:Hordeum vulgare subsp. vulgare, WGS project CAJW01000000 data, contig: morex_contig_159713